rnacentral:rRNA from 1 species
UACGUAGGGGGCUAGCGUUGUCCGGAUUUAUUGGGCGUAAAGAGCGUGUAGGCGGCCAGGUAGGUCUGCUGUGAAAACUCGAGGCUCAACCUCGAGACGUCGGCGGAAACCAUCUGGCUAGAGUCCGGAAGAGGAGAGUGGAAUUCCUGGUGUAGCGGUGAAAUGCGCAGAUAUCGGGAGGAACACCAGUGGCGAAGGCGACUACCUGGCCUGUUCUUGACGCUGAGGCGCGAAAGCCAGGGGAGCAAACGGG